CAUCAUAUCUGACAUCGAGCAAAGUUCAAUCAGACGCUUUGGGGCACCAAUAAAGAGUGAGACUGCACUUCCCUUCUGAUAGGUUAACCACAAAGAACCUCUCCAUGCCAACAAGCAGAGCGGAGCUGUACUUUCUCUUUCUACCCACGUAAGCAACAGUUUGUGACUUCUAUGCUUUAAACCACUCAUCAUUGUGUUUGCACCACCUCUUAAUGGAAACUUGUUAGCUGGAAGCCCCCACAGCUUCCACCUGGUCAGCCUGAAGCCCACCAUGUCACACGAUUUCUGUGAGGGGAGAUGGAACAUGGUGGCUAGCUACCGCACUAAUCAAACUGAGAGUGACUCAUUCAUAGAAGUCCUACAUGGAUUAGACUUCUAAUCAAAGAAAGCUGGGUUUGACAUUUUAUUUAGUGAGUCAGAUCGGUGCCAUUUAGAUGUGUGUGGCUAAUUAACUGCUCUGUGAACCCUGGGAGGCAUAGGUUGAGUUUAACAUUUGGAGAGACAUAAAGUAUAAUGAUAGUUCAAGCCCGAUACAAAAUGAAACAGUAAUGUACGUAUAUCUGUAUUUGUAUGUUGUGCAUUACCACUAUGUUCUGCAGUUGAAAAAAAAACUUUCAAUGCAGAACAUAGUGGUACACCAUAACCACCGUGUUCAUAGAAAAACCUAUACAUAGAUUUCAAUACACAAAUGUUUGACUUUGAAAAUGUAAUGCUUCACUUAUUGUUCAUAAUCAAGA